UGAGGAAUAUUGGACAAUGGGCGGGAGCCUGAUCCAGCCAUGCCGCGUGCAGGAAGACGGCCCUAUGGGUUGUAAACUGCUUUUAUACGGGAAGAAACACCCCCUCGCGAGGGGGCUUGACGGUACCGUAGGAAUAAGGAUCGGCUAACUCCGUGCCAGCAGCCGCGGUAAUACGGAGGAUCCGAGCGUUAUCCGGAAUCAUUGGGUUUAAAGGGUCCGUAGGUGGACGGUUAAGUCAGGGGGUGAAAUCCCGCAGCUCAACUGUGGAAUUGCCCUUGAUACUGGCCGUCUUGAGUCAUUGUGAAGUGGUUGGAAUAUGUAGUGUAGCGGUGAAAUGCAUAGAUAUUACAUAGAACACCGAUUGCGAAGGCAGAUCACUAACAAUGCACUGACACUGAUGGACGAAAGCGUGGGGAGCGAACAGGAUUAGAUACCCUGGUAGUCCACGCCGUAAACGAUGGUCACUAGCUGUCCGGAACUUG
rnacentral:rRNA from 1 species